GAGGGUAUAGCUCAGUGGUAGAGCACGUGCUUAGCAUGCACAAGGUCCUGGAUUCAAUCCCUGGUACCCCCA
rnacentral:tRNA from 1 species